rnacentral:misc_RNA from 1 species
GAGGAUCAUUACCGAGUGAGGGCCCUCUGGGUCCAACCUCCCACCCGUGUUUAUUUUACCUUGUUGCUUCGGCGAGCCCGCCUUAACUGGCCGCCGGGGGGCUUACGCCCCCGGGCCCGCGCCCGCCGAAGACACCCUCGAACUCUGUCUGAAGAUUGUAGUCUGAGUGAAAAUAUAAAUUAUUUAAAACUUUCAACAACGGAUCUCUUGGUUCCGGCAUCGAUGAAGAACGCAGCGAAAUGCGAUACGUAAUGUGAAUUGCAAAUUCAGUGAAUCAUCGAGUCUUUGAACGCACAUUGCGCCCCCUGGUAUUCCGGGGGGCAUGCCUGUCCGAGCGUCAUUGCUGCCCUCAAGCACGGCUUGUGUGUUGGGCCCCGUCCUCCGACCCCGGGGGACGGGCCCGAAAGGCAGCGGCGGCACCGCGUCCGGUCCUCGAGCGUAUGGGGCUUUGUCACCCGCUCUGUAGGCCCGGCCGGCGCUUGCCGAUCAACCCAAAUUUUUAUCCAGGUUGACCUCGGAUCAGGUAGGGAUACCCGCUGAACUUAAGCAUAUCAAUAAGCGGAGGAAAAGAAACCAACAGGGAUUGCCCCAGUAACGGCGAGUGAAGCGGCAAGAGCUCAAAUUUGAAAGCUGGCUCCUUCGGGGUCCGCAUUGUAAUUUGUAGAGGAUGCUUCGGGAGCGGUCCCCAUCUAAGUGCCCUGGAACGGGACGUCAUAGAGGGUGAGAAUCCCGUAUGGGAUGGGGUGUCCGCGCACGUGUG